AACGUAGGUACCGAGCGUUAUCCGGAUUUACUGGGCGUAAAGCGCGUGUAGGCGGUCCGGUAAGUCCGCUGUGAAAGUCGGGGGCUCAACCCUCGGAUGCCGGUGGAUACUGUCGGGCUUGAGUACGGAAGAGGCGAGUGGAAUUCCUGGUGUAGCGGUGAAAUGCGCAGAUAUCAGGAGGAACACCAAUUGCGAAGGCAGCUCGCUGGGACGUUACUGACGCUGAGACGCGAAAGCGUGGGGAGCAAACAGG
rnacentral:rRNA from 1 species